GGGGCGGGAUUCCCGCCUCUGGGUGUUACCUCAGAGAGGGCGGAUCUGAAGGUCUUGGCGCUCGCUGUGUGUGGAUGUCAGUUCUAUGUCUUAUCUCCUCUGUUUAUGGAUAGAUUCGUGGUUAAGCGACCUGCUGAGGAUCCGGGGGGUGAUGGCAAGAAGCCCCGGUUGGAGGAUGAGGAGGAGGCGGGCGGCUUGUCCCGUCCCUCAGUGCCCAGUCAGGAGAUCCGGGCUCAAGGCCUGAGCCUCGAGUAUCGCCUCCUCUUCAGCCGGGCUGAGGCUGAUGCGAUCUACCAGCAGCUGGAGAAGGAGGUGGAGUACUUCGAAGGUGAACAGACAAAGCUUCAAGUGUUUGGCAAGUGGCAUCAGAUCCCCAGGAAGCAGGUGACCUAUGGAGACCCCGAGUUAACGUACACUUACUCAGGUGUCACCUUUUCACCUAAGCCGUGGAUCCCAGUUCUCAACCACAUCAGAGAUCGCCUUGUUUUGGAGACGGGACAUGCUUUUAAUUUUGUUGUUAUUAACAGAUAUAAAGACGGCGAGGACCACAUAGGUGAACAUCGAGAUGACGAGAAGGAGCUGGUUCCACGCAGCCCUAUUGCAUCAGUGACCUUUGGAGCCUGCAGAGACUUUGUUUUCAGGCACUGCGAUUCCAGAGGGAAGAAUGCAACACGGCACAUCAAGCCCAUCAGACUGCAGUUAGAGCAUGGCAGCCUGCUGAUGAUGAAGUACCCCACUAACGUGUACUGGUACCACAGCCUGCCCAUCCGCAGGAGAGUUCUUGCUCCAAGAAUCAACCUGACAUUUCGGAAAAUGAUGCCUGUUGGCAAUAAGUGAGAUAGUCAGCAAUCAAUCACCUGCUCCAUAGACCCCGAAUAGUGAAGUUUUCCUCCUCGAUAUAGCUGUCCAUAUCUCAAUCAAGCUGUGUUUGAUGAUCCAAAGCAUUAAACCAGAAGAUAAUUGGUAACUUGCAAAUAAAUUCUGCAACUACUGAUCUUAAAUGCCAGGAAACAGUUGCUGAUACACCAGUUAUUAGGGAUCCAUUCUGACUACCUGAAAGCCAUUCCCAUCUGUGCUGCAUCCUAAUGGAAUGAGGAAAGUGUGUCCAAAGUCUCCACCGGGUCUUAAGGAAUCAAGCAAUGGCCUCAACUCCAAACUCUGGUGCUGUACCCUUGAGUGCACGCGCUCAUAGAACAGCAGGUAAGCGCUAGAGGAAAGGACCUCCUGCAAGCUGGCUUUGCGAACCGUAUCAUCUGAAAUCCAUAACCACUGAUUGCUGACAGAGAGCGGGUUCUUUGAAGAAGGCGGAGAGCGGCGAUAAGUCACAAAGUGUCCGGAAUGCAUGUCUCCAUGGUGCACAACUACUGCCAUCAGCCGGUAAAGGUACACGGGGGGACUGAGAGAGAAAUGAGAGUUUAAAGGGUCAGCGUUUAGUUCUUACAGCACUGUUCCUGGACAGAAAAGAAUGUGAUUCUUAAAAGAGGUUAAAUUACGGUGGGUAAUCCACAGAUAGCAACGGGUGUACUUUAAGGACUUGCUCUACAACCAUCUUCAUAGCAAGUGGUUGGCACAGAACGUUUCCUUGCUUCUCAUUCCCUAAAGUGAGUGUGGGGAAUGCAUUCCCCAUGGGAUAAUAACAGAACGUUGGUCACAGGACUGAAAAGAAGGGAACUUCCUCAAACACAGAUCAUCAUCAUAAGCAUCAAGGCUGGAUUUAUUAAGUAGAAUCCUGGAAGCUGCAAUUGAGAUUGUUAAAUAGAACUCUUACAGGUUGUUUAUUAUUCCAGUAUUAUAAGAUUUUCUUGCAGUAGUAUGAAGAAACCAAACAACUCUGACAGUAAUUGUUAAAAGUAAAAGAAGGAAUAGCAGAAAAACAGCAUGAAUGAGAACAUGGCGAUCCAGAAGGAUCACUGCUGCAUGCUGAACCAAAGAACGGAGAUGAAAGGAGAUUCUGAGUUCUCUCUGCAACAAGCUGUACUCUCUUGCUUAGUAGGACAGAAAUGGAGCCAAAGACAAUCAGCAAGGAGAAGAGAAAACAAUUAUCUGCACAGGAACUAGGAUAGAUAUUAAGUUCUAUGACUACACAGCCUUUUGAUAAAGGCAAUAAAGGAAAGCAUAAUUCAAACGGACAGAAAUACAACAGGGAACACAUCUCUCACUUACCUGCAUUCAGGGAAUGCAGUGAGUGGAAAAGUUCCCGGGGACAUUAGAAAUGAAGAGGAGCAGGCCCCAUUCAUAAGGAGCGAUUUGGUACCACGCGUCUGUUCUGCAUCUGCAAAACAAAGCAGACAUUGGUAAUUUAACUAAAAUGCUACAAGUAUUGCUAAUAACUGCUUCUGUUUCUACAGUGUCAUCACAGAAUGUGAAGGUAGUUUGCUUAUUUUAAUUCAUUACAUAUCACAGUCCCUUACAGUUGAGACAGGUAUGAUAUCUAAAGACAAGAGGUAAAUACCUGAAGGUUUUACUGCUAUCCCAUCCUUUGUUCCAGGUUUUGUCUCUUCAGAGCUUUUCUGAUUCAGAUCAUUCUGAGUUGAUUUAUGAACAGGAAUGUGAUAUUUGUAGAUGUCCAUGAUUAAGAACUCAUUGAACUGUACGUGUUCAUGACGUUUCAGAGGAGUACCUUGGUUUGACCAGCUCAGUCUUUGCAGAUGGAUACACAAACACUGAGGGAGCUUCAAAGUUCCAUACAAAAGAGAAGUCAAAAUACAUUUUAAGUGAAGAGAAACAGCUGUUAAAAGCAUUCUAAUGGAACUAAAUGGUGAUCUUCAUUUCCUCAGGUGACUGCAACUUAAUUUGCCUUUGCAUGCGCCAUCACAAUACCACAUGCUGAACGAACAGCUAGUCCUAAAGUGCUACCCGUGUGAGUGGAUCUUCAGUAUAUAAUAUCUGUGAUAUUGGAUACUGAAUGUAAUAAAACAAUUAUUCUGCCUG